rnacentral:tRNA from 1 species
UGGGGGAUCGUCUAGCGGCAGGACAGUGGACUCUGGAUCCAUUAACCGAGGUUCGAAUCCUCGUCCCCCAGCCA